GAUGAACGCUGGCGGCGUGCCUAAUACAUGCAAGUAGAACGCUGAAGGAGGAGCUUGCUCUUCUGGAUGAGUUGCGAACGGGUGAGUAACGCGUAGGUAACCUGCCUGGUAGCGGGGGAUAACUAUUGGAAACGAUAGCUAAUACCGCAUGACAACAGUUAUUGCAUGAUAACUGUUUAAAAGGGGCAACUGCUCCACUACCAGAUGGACCUGCGUUGUAUUAGCUAGUUGGUGAGGUAACGGCUCACCAAGGCGACGAUACAUAGCAGACCUGAGAGGGUGAUCGGCCACACUGGGACUGAGACACGGCCCAGACUCCUACGGGAGGCAGCAGUAGGGAAUCUUCGGCAAUGGACGGAAGUCUGACCGAGCAACGCCGCGUGAGUGAAGAAGGGUUUCGGAUCGUAAAGCUCUGUUGUAAGAGAAGAACGAGUGUGAGAGUGGAAAGUUCACACUGUGACGGUAUCUUAACAGAAAGGGACGGCUAACUACGUG
rnacentral:rRNA from 1 species